UGGGGAAUAUUGCACAAUGGGCGCAAGCCUGAUGCAGCCAUGCCGCGUGUAUGAAGAAGGCCUUCGGGUUGUAAAGUACUUUCAGUCGGGAGGAAGGUGGUAAGGUUAAUAACCUUAUCAAUUGACGUUACCGACAGAAGAAGCACCGGCUAACUCCGUGCCAGCAGCCGCGGUAAUACGGAGGGUGCAAGCGUUAAUCGGAAUUACUGGGCGUAAGCGCACGCAGGCGGUUGAUUGAGUCAGAUGUGAAAUCCCCGGGCUUAACCCGGGAAUUGCAUCUGAUACUGGUCAGCUAGAGUCUUGUAGAGGGGGGUAGAAUUCCAUGUGUAGCGAUGAAAUGCGUAGAGAUGUGGAGGAAUACCGGUGGCGAAGGCGGCCCCCUGGACAAAGACUGACGCUCAGGUGCGAAAGCGUGGGGAGCAAACAGG
rnacentral:rRNA from 1 species